CCCUAGGGUCGUAAAGCUCUUUCGCCAGGGAUGAUAAUGACAGUGCCUGGUAAAGAAACCCCGGCUAACUCCGUGCCAGCAGCCGCGGUAAUACGGAGGGGGUUAGCGUUGUUCGGAAUUACUGGGCGUAAAGCGCGCGUAGGCGGAUUAGUCAGUCAGAGGUGAAGUCCCAGGGCUCAACCCUGGAUCUGCCUUUGAUACUGCUAGUCUUGAGUUCGAGAGAGGUGAGUGGAAUUCCGAGUGUAGAGGUGAAACUCGUAGAUAUUCGGAGGAACACCAGUGGCGAAGGCGGCUCACUGGCUCGAUACUGACGCUGAGGUGCGAAAGUGAGGGGAGCAAACAGGAUUAGAUACCCUGGUAGUCCACACCGUAAACGAUGAAUGCCAGUCGUCGGGUAGCAUGCUAUUCGGUGACACACCUAACGGAUUAAGC
rnacentral:rRNA from 1 species